GACGAACGCUGGCGGCGUGCCUAAUACAUGCAAGUCGAACGCAGUGGGGACGGGUGAGGAAAACGUGGGUAACCUCCCAUCAGAGGGGAUAACACUUGGAAACAGGUGCUAAACCGCUACUGAUGGAUGGACCCGCGGUGCAUUAGCUAGUUGGGGAGGUAACGGCUCACCAAGGCCACGAUGCAUAGCCGACUUGGAAGGGGGAGCGUCCAAACUGGGACUGAUACACGGCCCAGACGCCUACGGGAGGAAGCAGUAGGGAAUCUUCGGCAAUGGACGAAAGUCUGACCGAGCAACGCCGCGUAGGUGAAGAAGGUUUUCGGAUCGUAAAACUCUUUUGUUAGAGAAGCGGUAUCUAACCAGAAAGCCACGGCUAACUACGUGCCAGCAGCCGCGGUAAUAC
rnacentral:rRNA from 1 species